rnacentral:rRNA from 1 species
AUUGAACGCUGGCGGCAGGCCUAACACAUGCAAGUCGAGCGGUAGAGAGGUGCUUGCAUCUCUUGAGAGCGGCGGACGGGUGAGUAAUGCCUAGGAAUCUGCCUGGUGGUGGGGGAUAACGUUCGGAAACGGACGCUAAUACCGCAUACGUCCUACGGGAGAAAGCGGGGGAUCUUCGGACCUCGCGCCAUUAGAUGAGCCUAGGUCGGAUUAGCUAGUUGGUGAGGUAAUGGCUCACCAAGGCGACGAUCCGUAACUGGUCUGAGAGGAUGAUCAGUCACACUGGAACUGAGACAUGGUCCAGACUCCUACGGGAGGCAGCAGUGGGGAAUAUUGGACAAUGGGCGAAAGCCUGAUCCAGCCAUGCCGCGUGUGUGAAGAAGGUCUUCGGAUUGUAAAGCACUUUAAGUUGGGAGGAAGGGUAGUAACCUAAUACGUUGCUACUUUGACGUUACCGACAGAAUAAGCACCGGCUAACUUACGUGCCAGCAG